CAAUAGAAACUAUGUAAUUUAAGAAUAGAAGAAUAAAAUUAUAAAAUAAAUGUUUCAUACUACCAUAAGAUCUUACUCCUUAUUUUAAACUUUCUAUAAUUAUAAAAAUUCCAAGUUGUGAUUUUAAGCAGAAGCAUUUUUGAAUAAUAGAGCCUUAACAUGUUUUAUGAAUAAGACUUUGUACUGCAACAAAAAUUGAUAAUGUCAAGGAAGAUUUGAUUAUCUCUAAUAAAUGUUAUUAACAGAUGGCCAUUUGCAUCAAGAGGUGUUAUGGAAGUGACUUGGCUAUUGGAAGUAGCAUCAAUAAAUCAAGUAUUUAACAUUACAUUUAAUAUUAAUUAGUAUUAUUUAAAUCCAAUGGUAAUUGGCUUAUCUUAAUUUGAAUUUCAUAAUCUUGAUAUUGAUUGUAAAUCAAAAAAAUUCACUUCAAGAUUUAAUCUGAUUGUCAUUAAAUAAAUAUUUUAUUAUAUUUAUUAAAACUAAGGUAUUUAUAUAAGGUACAAAAAGAAGAAGUUAUAUUCAUCAUUUAUACAACAUUAAGUCUUUAUUCAAAUAGAAGUUGCAAAGAAUUUUAAAAUAGUAGAAAAAAUAUAAAAAUACAUGUAAACAAAUUAUUAUAAUAUUAUCAAAAUAUCAACCAUACGAUUGUACAAUUGAUUAUUAAGAAGUAACUCAACUACCAUUUGAACCAAUUAACAACUUGUUGUGAUAUGAAGUUAUUGCUUUCAAAAAAAUAUAUUAAUGAAAAUCCUACAAAGAAUUUUAUUUGAUACUUAAAAUCUUCUUUGUACAAAAAUAAGGUGGAUCCUUGCAAAUAAAUUUAAGAUUAUUGAAGACUCAAAAUAUUGAUCAUCAAGA
rnacentral:lncRNA from 1 species